rnacentral:rRNA from 2 species
UUUAUGGAGAGUUUGAUCCUGGCUCAGGAUGAACGCUGGCGGCGUGCCUAAUACAUGCAAGUCGAGCGAACGGACGAGAAGCUUGCUUCUCUGAUGUUAGCGGCGGACGGGUGAGUAACACGUGGAUAACCUACCUAUAAGACUGGGAUAACUUCGGGAAACCGUAGCUAAUACCGGAUAAUAUUUUGAACCGCAUGGUUCAAAAGUGAAAGACGGUCUUGCUGUCACUUAUAGAUGGAUCCGCGCUGCAUUAGCUAGUUGGUAAGGUAACGGCUUACCAAGGCAACGAUGCAUAGCCGACCUGAGAGGGUGAUCGGCCACACUGGAACUGAGACACGGUCCAGACUCCUACGGGAGGCAGCAGUAGGGAAUCUUCCGCAAUGGGCGAAAGCCUGACGGAGCAACGCCGCGUGAGUGAUGAAGGUCUUCGGAUCGUAAAACUCUGUUAUUAGGGAAGAACAUAUGUGUAAGUAACUGUGCACAUCUUGACGGUACCUAAUCAGAAAGCCACGGCUAACUACGUGCCAGCAGCCGCGGUAAUACGUAGGUGGCAAGCGUUAUCCGGAAUUAUUGGGCGUAAAGCGCGCGUAGGCGGUUUUUUAAGUCUGAUGUGAAAGCCCACGGCUCAACCGUGGAGGGUCAUUGGAAACUGGAAAACUUGAGUGCAGAAGAGGAAAGUGGAAUUCCAUGUGUAGCGGUGAAAUGCGCAGAGAUAUGGAGGAACACCAGUGGCGAAGGCGACUUUCUGGUCUGUAACUGACGCUGAUGUGCGAAAGCGUGGGGAUCAAACAGGAUUAGAUACCCUGGUAGUCCACGCCGUAAACGAUGAGUGCUAAGUGUUAGGGGGUUUCCGCCCCUUAGUGCUGCAGCUAACGCAUUAAGCACUCCGCCUGGGGAGUACGACCGCAAGGUUGAAACUCAAAGGAAUUGACGGGGACCCGCACAAGCGGUGGAGCAUGUGGUUUAAUUCGAAGCAACGCGAAGAACCUUACCAAAUCUUGACAUCCUUUGACAACUCUAGAGAUAGAGCCUUCCCCUUCGGGGGACAAAGUGACAGGUGGUGCAUGGUUGUCGUCAGCUCGUGUCGUGAGAUGUUGGGUUAAGUCCCGCAACGAGCGCAACCCUUAAGCUUAGUUGCCAUCAUUAAGUUGGGCACUCUAAGUUGACUGCCGGUGACAAACCGGAGGAAGGUGGGGAUGACGUCAAAUCAUCAUGCCCCUUAUGAUUUGGGCUACACACGUGCUACAAUGGACAAUACAAAGGGCAGCGAAACCGCGAGGUCAAGCAAAUCCCAUAAAGUUGUUCUCAGUUCGGAUUGUAGUCUGCAACUCGACUACAUGAAGCUGGAAUCGCUAGUAAUCGUAGAUCAGCAUGCUACGGUGAAUACGUUCCCGGGUCUUGUACACACCGCCCGUCACACCACGAGAGUUUGUAACACCCGAAGCCGGUGGAGUAACCUUUUAGGAGCUAGCCGUCGAAGGUGGGACAAAUGAUUGGGGUGAAGUCGUAACAAGGUAGCCGUAUCGGAAGGUGCGGCUGGAUCACCUCCUUUCU